AUUGAACGCUGGCGGCAGGCUUAACACAUGCAAGUCGAGCGGAGAUGAGGUGCUUGCACUUUAUCUUAGCGGCGGACGGGUGAGUAAUGCUUAGGAAUCUGCCUAUUAGUGGGGGACAACAUUCCGAAAGGAAUGCUAAUACCGCAUACGCCCCACGGGGGAAAGCAGGGGAUCUUCGGACCUCGCGCUAAUAGAUGAGCCUAAGUCGGAUUAGCUAGUUGGUGGGGUAAAGGCCUACCAAGGCGACGAUCUGUAGCGGGUCUGAGAGGAUGAUCCGCCACACUGGGACUGAGACACGGCCCAGACUCCUACGGGAGGCAGCAGUGGGGAAUAUUGGACAAUGGGCGGAAGCCUGAUCCAGCCAUGCCGCGUGUGUGAAGAAGGCCUUUUGGUUGUAAAGCACUUUAAGCGAGGAGGAGGCUACCUGGAUUAAUACUCUAGGAUAGUGGACGUUACUCGCAGAAUAAGCACCGGCUAACUCUGUGCCAGCCGCCGCCGUAACAC
rnacentral:rRNA from 1 species